UCCACUAGUGCAAAACAUGACGAGAUCGAAUUUGAGUUCUUGGGGAACUCGACAGGGGAGCCUUACAUGGUACACACAAAUAUUUACACUCAAGGUCAAGAUAACAGAGAGCAACAGUUCAAAUUAUGGUUUGACCCAACCGCCAGUUAUCACAACUACAUAAUCCAUUGGAAUCCAACUGAUGGUAUGUUGAUAGUGUGCCAAUUCGAGUCUUAAAAAACUCCACAAUGCAAAGGGAUCACGUACCAAACCAACAAAGGAUGCGAGUCUACUCCAGUUUGUGGAAUGCUAAUAACUGGGCUGCAGCCCACAAGUUUAUGUCAGUGGAGCUCCUCGAGCCGUUUAAAGCUGCAACCCACAAGUUUUUCCUCAACCGGCUGAAAAGGAGGUCAUGUAUCUCAAAUGGAAGAGUUUAAGUCGAUGGAUAUCAAUGAAAACCAUGUGUAUGUUCUUCUAAAUCCGUUUAUCAAUCAUGCACAAAAGGAUCUCUUAGUGACCAUUUCUGAAAGUAGUAUUUUGCCUAAAACUAUAUCUCCCUUGUAACAACCCGCGUUUUGAAAGAUAAAGUACAAGUCAAAGUCAAAGUCAAAGGAAGAAAAAGAUUGCUAAUUGCGAUCUGUCACUCUUUGCCUAAUUAUUGAUUUGUACUUCUUGACUUGUA